CUCGUUGUUGCUACUCUCCGUUCUACUGUUCCGGUAUUCGUUGUUGUUCAAUCUGUUGUU
rnacentral:misc_RNA from 1 species